CCCUCCAGGGGCAGAAGUUAGGGAAGUGACCUGUGGAGUUUGUAGCGGAGUCGGACCACUAAGAUCCGCCCCCCCACCCCCACCCCCACCCCCGCUGGAAGGAAUUUCGAAAUCACCCGGCCUGGUGCUGGUCGUACGCUAUUUUCAGAAGCCCAGAGAGAUUGUGCCACUUGUUCAACUCCACGCAGUGCUCCUCUUGCUCUCCGGCAAUCUUCCAGAGUUGAGAAAAGGAGAAACCAACCAGGGUGGCCUCCUUUGGACUGGUAGAUUCUCUGCGAUCCUUGGAUUUACCUCAGGAGAAAAAAAGGUGCAUCUCUCACUAUCACCAAGUGGAGUACCAGUAACCAUGAUACAAACAGAAGCUUGAAAAAUGCUGGUACUUUGGGUGUUUCAUCUUGGAACUCUCAUGGAAUCACCAUGUGAGGAAACCUAGCUAGGACUAUCUUCCUUGAGGAUGAAAGACCACAUGGAGAGGGAGGCCCAGCCAUCCCCACUGUCCUAGCUGAACUCAGCCCUCAGCCUUUCCUCCAACUGAAUGAAGCUGCACAAGCAAGCCCUGGAAAAACCAGCAGAAGA